AAAGAUAUAACUCAGUUGGUAGAAUGGUAGACUGUUAAUCUAUUGAUCGAGAGUUCAAAUAUCUAUGUUU
rnacentral:tRNA from 1 species